rfam:Camelus ferus unplaced genomic scaffold scaffold1171, whole genome shotgun sequence.
GAGGGUAAAGCUCAGUGGUAGAGUGUGCGCUUAGCAUGCACAAAGUCCUGGGUUCAAUCCCCAGUCCCUCCA